AAGGAUGGGAUUUGUUGAACGAUCGGUGCUACAGUGACUUCAGCUCCUAUGAUACUUUUGAGGAAGCAGAGAAUUACUGUAAGGGAUACAAUUCGCACCUAGUAUCCAUCCAGGAUGAAGUGCAACGCGCCCUUACUGUUGCACUCCACCCGUCUCCCGGAUUCAACGGUACCUGGACUGGACUCAGAGUCGGUGCUGCGGGAAACUUGUCAUGGACCGAUGGCUCGGAUGUCACAUUUGCAUCACAAUUCAUUACAAAUACCACCAUCGAAGGCUGUGUAGCCAUUUUGCCAGGUGUAGGGUGGCAGGUUAUUGAUUGCAACGCGCGUCUUCGCUAUGUUUGUGCCCAGCCUUUGUUUUCGUGUGUAUUAAUAUGUGAUUUUGAGUCAUAUCCAUAUUAUUAUUCUGGAUAUUAAUACAUUAUUUUGUGUUUAUUCCAUAUGA